rnacentral:rRNA from 1 species
UACGUAGGUGGCAAGCGUUAUCCGGAAUUAUUGGGCGUAAAGAGCGCGCAGGUGGUUGAUUAAGUCUGAUGUGAAAGCCCACGGCUUAACCGUGGAGGGUCAUUGGAAACUGGUCAACUUGAGUGCAGAAGAGGGAAGUGGAAUUCCAUGUGUAGCGGUGAAAUGCGUAGAGAUAUGGAGGAACACCAGUGGCGAAGGCGGAUCUCUGGGCCAUUACUGACGCUGAGGAGCGAAAGCGUGGGGAGCGAGCAGG